rnacentral:rRNA from 1 species
AUUGAACGCUGGCGGCAGGCCUAACACAUGCAAGUCGAGCGGAGCGGCGGACGGGCGAGUAAUACCUAGGAAUCUGCCUGGUCGUGGGGGAUAACGUUCGGAAACGGACGCUAAUUCCGCAUACUAUCAGACGAGCCUAGGUCGGUUUAGCUAGUUGGUGAGGUAAUGGCUCACCAAGGUUACGAUCCGUCACUGGUCUGGGAGGAUGAUCAGUCACACUGGAACUGAGACACGGUCCAGACUCCUACGGGAGGCAGCAGUGGGGAAUAUUGGACAAUGGGCGAAAGCCUGAUGCAGCCAUGCCGCGGGUGUGAAGAAGGUCUUCGGAUUGUAAAGCACUUUAAGUUGGGAGGCGUUACCGACAGAAUAAGCACCGGCUAACUCUGUGCCAGCAGCCGUGGUAAUAC